GUCCACUAUUCCGAUCUUCUACCUGGAACUUUGAUAUCUGGACACGCAUCAACGUUCCAUGUAGAGAAUCUGCAUGGUGGAC
rnacentral:pre_miRNA from 1 species